rnacentral:rRNA from 1 species
UACGUAGGGUGCAAGCGUUGUCCGGAAUUAUUGGGCGUAAAGAGCUCGUAGGCGGUCUGUCGCGUCGGCUGUGAAAACUCGGGGCUCAACUCCGAGCUUGCAGUCGAUACGGGCAGGCUAGAGUUCGGCAGGGGAGACUGGAAUUCCUGGUGUAGCGGUGAAAUGCGCAGAUAUCAGGAGGAACACCGGUGGCGAAGGCGGGACUCUGGGCCGAUACUGACGCUGAGGAGCGAAAGCGUGGGGAGCAAACAGG